GUGGGGAAUUUUGGACAAUGGGCGCAAGCCUGAUCCAGCAAUGCCGCGUGCAGGAAGAAGGCCUUCGGGUUGUAAACUGCUUUUGUACGGAACGAAACGGUCCUGGCUAAUAUCCGGGGCUAAUGACGGUACCGUAAGAAUAAGCACCGGCUAACUACGUGCCAGCAGCCGCGGUAAUACGUAGGGUGCAAGCGUUAAUCGGAAUUACUGGGCGUAAAGCGUGCGCAGGCGGUUUUGUAAGACAGGCGUGAAAUCCCCGGGCUCAACCUGGGAAUGGCGCUUGUGACUGCAAGGCUGGAGUGCGGCAGAGGGGGAUGGAAUUCCGCGUGUAGCAGUGAAAUGCGUAGAUAUGCGGAGGAACACCGAUGGCGAAGGCAAUCCCCUGGGCCUGCACUGACGCUCAUGCACGAAAGCGUGGGGAGCAAACAGGAUUAGAUACCCUUGUAGUCC
rnacentral:rRNA from 1 species